rnacentral:rRNA from 1 species
UUCUUGACCUCAGAUCAGGCAAGGCUACCCGCUGAAUUUAAGCAUAUUAAUAAGCGGAGGAAAAGAAACUAACAAGGAUUCCCUCAGUAACAGCGAGUGAAGCGGGAACAGCUCAAAUUUGAAAUCUCCGGCGCUUGCGUCGGCGAGU